UGGAAGAGCCAAUCAGAGGAGACCACAGGCAGCGAGCAUUCCUGUGACUGUGAGCCCAGAUGCGUUCAGGACACUGAGACAAACAGGAAGCAGUGAAGGUAACAGAGACAGCAGGAAUGAUGAUGAAGACCUCGGGACGCUUCAUGUGGUCCAUUUAGGAAUGGUUUGAAAGAACGAACUAAGAUACGAUAAGAGACACAACAACAUCUCACCAAUAACAGGCUCUCUUUGUCUAUAUUAUGUUUAUAUUCAAAGUAGUUACUUACCUGUAACAUUACCUGGAGAGGGACUCAAAUGCUUGUCAUUGUACAGAAAGGUAGAUGACUGUAUAGAUGUCUGAUAAAAGUGGAAUAAUACAUGUGUGUUAUACGUAAAUACAUUAAUUUUGCAUUACCACUUUUGUUAGUAGGUUGUACAUUUUAAAAUUGCGAAACCAAAAGCAUUUGUUUGUUUUUUUAGAACUGUCAUAGUUUAUCUGUGAAAUUUGGAUGUGAAAUCAGGUUAUUUUCUGUCUUAGUGAAUUCUAAACCAAAUGAACCUUAAAAGAAAACGGUUACACCGACUUCUGCCUUUAAAAACACGACUGAAAAUGUUUUAAACCAUUCCAUUAAUCAGCCUGAAAAUAAAGAUUUGUUUAAUACUUUCA